rnacentral:rRNA from 1 species
UGGGGGAUAUUGCACAAUGGGGGGAACCCUGAUGCAGCGACGCCGCGUGAGUGAAGAAGUAUUUCGGUAUGUAAAGCUCUAUCAGCAGGGAAGAAGCGGGACGGUACCUGAAUAAGAAGCCCCGGCUAACUACGUGCCAGCAGCCGCGGUAAUACGUAGGGGGCGAGCGUUAUCCGGAUUUACUGGGUGUAAAGGGAGCGUAGACGGCAAAGAAAGUCUGGAGUGAAAGCCCGCGGCUCAACCGCGGAACUGCUUUGGAAACUUUUUUGCUGGAGUACCGGAGAGGUAAGCGGAAUUCCUAGUGUAGCGGUGAAAUGCGUAGAUAUUAGGAGGAACACCAGUGGCGAAGGCGGCUUACUGGACGGUAACUGACGUUGAGGCUCGAAAGCGUGGGGAGCAAACAGG